UACGAAGGGGGCUAGCGCUGCUCGGAAUUACUGGGCGUAAAGCGCACGUAGGCGGUCUUUUAAGUCGGGGGUGAAAUCCUGGAGCUCAACUCCAGAACUGCCUUCGAUACUGGAAGACUUGAGUCCGGGAGAGGUGAGUGGAACUGCGAGUGUAGAGGUGAAAUUCGUAGAUAUUCGCAAGAACACCAGUGGCGAAGGCGGCUCACUGGCCCGGUACUGACGCUGAGGUGCGAAAGCGUGGGGAGCAAACAGG
rnacentral:rRNA from 1 species